rnacentral:rRNA from 1 species
GAUGAACGCUAGCGGCAGGCUUAACACAUGCAAGUCGAGGGGUAACGAUGGUGCUUGCACCAGGCGACGACCGGCGAACGGGUGCGUAACGCGUAUAGAAUCUGCCUUGUACAGGAGGAUAGCCUUUAGAAAUGAAGAUUAAUACUCCAUAAUGUAUUAGCAUCGCAUGGUGCAAAUAUUAAAGAUUUAUUGGUACAAGAUGACUAUGCGUCCUAUUAGUUAGUUGGUAAGGUAACGGCUUACCAAGGCAGCGAUAGGUAGGGGGUCUGAGAGGAUUAUCCCCCACACUGGUACUGAGACACGGACCAGACUCCUACGGGAGGCAGCAGUGAGGAAUAUUGGACAAUGGGCGGAAGCCUGAUCCAGCCAUGCCGCGUGCAGGAAGACGGCCCUAUGGGUUGUAAACUGCUUUUAUACAGGAAGAAACGUAUCCACGUGUGGAUAUUUGACGGUACUGUAAGAAUAAGCACCGGCUAACUCCGUGCCAGCAGCCGCGGUAAUACGGAGGGUGCAAGCGUUAUCCGGAAUCAUUGGGUUUAAAGGGUCCGCAGGCGGUCGAUUAAGUCAGAGGUGAAAUCCCAUAGCUUAACUAUGGAACUGCCUUUGAUACUGGUUGACUUGAGUCAUAUGGAAGUAGAUAGAAUAAGUAGUGUAGCGGUGAAAUGCAUAGAUAUUACUUAGAAUACCGAUUGCGAAGGCAGUCUACUACGUAUGUACUGACGCUCAUGGACGAAAGCGUGGGGAGCGAACAGG